AAAUAAAGAGAAACAAAGGUUUCUACGGUUAUUCUGUUCACUACCAAACUCUUCAACUCUUCAAUCAAGACGAUAAAAUAGUCGGUGUCUUUUAUGCGCUUGUACUUGUUUCGAUCUGAACUGUUUUUGUUUAGUUUUUAGAAAGAGUAAUUUUUUGGAGCUAUAUAACUAUUUUACUUUGUUUAUGUGAAGACACAAUGAGGAAGAAGCUUGAUACUCGUUUCCCAGCAUCUCGGAUCAAAAAGAUUAUGCAAGCUGAUGAGGAUGUAGGGAAGAUUGCAUUGGCUGUGCCCCUUUUAGUUUCUAAAGCAUUGGAACUAUUCCUGCAAGAUCUCUGUGACAGGACAUAUGACGUUACCCUUCGUAGAGGAGCAAAGACCAUGAGUUCUUUGCAUUUAAAGCAGUGUGUACAAAGCUUCAAUGUGUUUGAUUUCCUAAAAGAAAUCGUGAGCAAGGUUCCAGAUUUUGGGGGUUCAGAUGCUGGUGGGGAGGAUAGAGCUCACAAGAGAAGCAGGAAAACUGUAGUAGAUGAAGACAAUGAUAGUGAGGAGGAAGGAAAGAGAAACAGGAUAUCACAUGAGACUAGCCACAAUAGUAGUUCUGGAAGAGGACGGGGAAGGAGCCGAGGAAGAGGAAGAGGGCGAGGACGGCCUCCGGUGGAUAGAGAAAGCAGUCGACUGGAGAAGUGUGAAGGUGAUCCUGACAUGUCUCCCCAACACGACAAUCAGAACCCAGAAACCAUAAGUCCGGAUAAUGGGAUUGAACCCAGAGAAUCGGCAGAUAACAUGACAACAAUUGGUAGUACUUCCGAUACGGAGAUUCGGAACUUCGAUCUGAAUGUUGUCUUGGAUGAUAGUGGGACGAAUCAACUUGUUAGGUCAGAUUCUGGAACAACAGCAGCACCCUCUGCAAUAGCAGCUUCAACAUCAGGCCCUGCAACAUCAGCAGAGCCGCCUCCUGAAAUAAAGCAGCAUGAAGAGUAUCCUGGUUGGUCCGUCUCUGACAUGGACAAGAUGUCCAUUUAUCCUCUUCAGCUUGCUCAACUGAAUAGCAAAAGAUUAGACGAAGAAGAAGAUUACGAUGAAGAAGAAGAAUAGAACAGCCGAGGAUGAAGAAGACCUUGCCAGUAGUAGGUCCUUCACCUCUCGGAGGCUGCACUAUAUAUUCAGAUAUAAUGAAUGAGUCGGAUUUUCACCCUCAAAUUCAAUGAAUCUCCAGGCAGGAAAGUGUAUCCAACUCAGAACUCUGCUUCUUCCUCUCUUCAAGUAAGAUCUACAGUUUGAUUGGUCCCUGAGAGCAGAAAAGUUCAAAGGCCCCCAAGUCCACUGGUUUCAGGGUGAGUCCAUAGAUUGUCAUGCCAAAAAUCAAGGGGUCAUCGUAAAUGAAGAAGUUACACAUAGCCAGUCUUACCUUUGUUUGCUUGACAAGGUGGUAUUGAAAACGUUCUUAGUUGUUGAAUUUGGGUUGCAACAUUGAAAGAUGUCAAGCUAACCUGUGGUACAAGUCAUUGUGGUGUGUUUGAAGUGGAUUUUUAUUGUGCCUUGGGGUGUGGGAGUACAAAAUGAAACCCUACCUAAAAUCAAUU